rnacentral:misc_RNA from 1 species
UUGAAACGUUUUAACCGUUUAACGACGUUCGAUAAUCUCUUGGAUAUUUUCAAUAUAACUUCGAUAUAAACGGAUUCGUAGAACAUCGUGAGAAAUUUGAACCUAUUAUAUCCGGUGAUUGUGCAAAACAUAAUCAGUCGUGCCAUAUAAUAGGAGUAUAAUGUUUUAGUACAGGAAUAAGUAUAAUAUGCAUAAUAAAUUGGUUCGAAAUUCAGCGGUUGUAUCGAAAUGUCGAUAAUUAUAUCGCAAUCGAAGGCAUAGGUGGUAUCGGUGCAUCGAAAUAACUAUCGAACGUAUCGAGAUUAGAGUCGAAAAAUACGUAGAAUCGAGACAUCGAUAUAUCGUAUCAGCCAUAGUCAAUCAAUUGAUAAGGCAUUAAAUUUAAGCUAGGCUUUUGAUUAGUCGAUAGAUUCGCAGAGAAUGCUUCGUUAACAAAAGUUAAUAUUUUGUUAAAAGUCUGAGCAGCGUUUUGUUUUAUUCACGAAGAAAAAUAGCCGAAGAUAAGGUUAGUCGGUGGACGAGAUCGCGUUUCAUCGAUGAUCCUAACCUACAAUAAUAAGGAAAAGCGUGAAGCAGGUUUUUGGCUCGUCGAAUAUACGCUCGGUGAGAUCGACGGAAGAAAGAGCAAGUUGAACGGUCGAUCGUUGACGAAUAAUUGGUCGACGUCGUCGUCAUUGUCAUCAUUGGCGAUUACGUGGUCGAAACGAGUGGCAUGCUGGGCAAGACGAAGACGAUGCCAACACGGCUACGAUAUAUCCUCUUGUUCGUUGAACGUUACGUGUUUUGGAAACAGAAUAAAGUGAAAUAGUGUUUACUAUUUAAUAGCGUAACUAUUAAAAGUUAAUAUAUUUAGACGCGCAUCUCGCACGAAAAUCUCUGGUACAUCGAAACUCGAUUUUUAACGAAUUUACGUUAUAUCUUGUUUCGUGGUUAAAUUAGAUAAGGUCAUUAACGAUUUGUUUUGCGAUUUCAAAGAUUUCAGUUGGAUAUUCGCACCGCGUUUAACGCGCGCACACAGGUACAACCACAUUCGGGAGAGCAGGCAGAGGCAAGGACCGAGGUGGAGACGUAGACAGUAGCACAGAUUAUCCGGAAGAUAUAUUUGGGACAUAGAAUCGCAGGAUGCGACUUGUUGGCGGAGAAAAGUUAAUCGAUAUUCAAAGUAAUCCUAGUAACGUAAGAAAUAUUUGUAUAUUGGCUCACGUCGAUCAUGGAAAGACCACGUUGGCGGACUCGUUGGUUGCCAACAAUGGAAUCAUUUCUAGUAAACUGGCUGGGAAACUACGAUAUUUGGAUAGCCGUCCGGACGAGCAAUUAAGAGGAAUUACGAUGAAAUCAAGUUCCAUCAGCCUUUAUUACGAGUAUCACCGACAGCAAUUCUGCAUCAACUUGAUAGAUUCUCCGGGACACGUGGAUUUCGCUUCGGAAGUUUCAACGGCGGUUAGGCUUUGCGACGGCGCGAUAAUCGUGGUGGACGUGGUAGAAGGCGUGUGUCCGCAAACUCGAAGCGCGCUCUCGAUUUCGUACGCGGAAGGGUUGAAACCGAUUUUGGUAUUGAACAAAGUCGAUAGACUGAUCACGGAAAUGAAACUGUCACCGUUGGACGCGUACAUGCAUCUGAGUCAAGUUUUGGAGCAAGUAAACGCGGUAAUGGGCGAACUGUUUGCCAGCGACGUGAUGGAACGAGAGGAAAAAGUGGAGGGAAGAAAAGAGAGCGAAGAGAGGGUCGGCGAUAAAAAUUUCUUGACCGCCGAAUGGCAGUCCGCAUUGGACGAGAUAGACGAUUCCGGUUUAUACUUUUCUCCCGAUCAAGGGAACGUUUUGUUUUCCAGCGCCACGGACGGUUGGGGAUUCGGCGUGAAAGAAUUCGCCAGGAUAUUUUCGAAGAAAUUGGGUUUUAGCGAACAGGUAUUAUCGAAGACGCUUUGGGGAGAUUAUUACGUGAAUUCGAAGACGAAAAGAAUCAUGAAAGGUGCUCAGGAAAAAGCGAAGAAACCGCUGUUCGUUCAGGUAAUAUUGGAGAACAUUUGGGCGUUGUACGAAACGAUCACGGUGAGAAAGGACAGGGAAAAGGUGGCUCUGAUGGCCGACCGAUUGGAUAUCAAAUUAACGAGCAGAGAUUUAAGGCAUACCGAUAGCAAGGCUCAGUUGCGAGCCGUUUGCUCUCAGUGGUUGCCUUUGGCCGACGCUUGUCUCGAGGCGAUCUGCGAGAAAGUUCCGGCACCCGACAGUUUGUCCUCCGAAAAGGUGGAACGUUUGUUGAGCGGCAAUUUCGAUUAUUCGACGCUGCCAGACGAAACGCGACAAUUGAAGGCAGCGUUUCUGGCUUGCGACCCAUCCGAGGACGCACCCGUGAUCGUGUUCGUAUCGAAAAUGUUUCCCAUCGAGAAGAAAGCGUUGCCGGAGAACAAACCGAAACCGUUAACCCCGGAAGAGUUGGCGGAGCGGAGGCAAAUGGCGCGAAUGAAACACGCGGAGAAAGCGAAGAGAGAAGAACGGACAGAGGUGGCCGAAACGGAUCGUUCGAAUUCCGAGGAUAAAUCGUUGGACAAGUGUUUGGAAGAGAAGUCGAACGAACGGAAGGAAGAGGAAAGUUCGGAAAGCGCGUUGAUAGCGUUCGCGAGAAUUUAUUCCGGGUGUUUGAGGAAAGGAAGCACGGUGUUCGUUCUGGGGCCGAAACACGAUCCUCGCGAGGCGCUGGAACGCGCGCGAGCCGGCGAGCCAAUGGCCGAGGAGAAGGUGACGUUGAAAGAUCUGCGACCAGGACGACACGUGACCAAGGUGACCGUGCAACGGCUGUAUCUUUUGAUGGGAAGAGAAUUGGAAGCGACGGAUAAAGUGUCCGCCGGUAACGUAUUCGGGAUAGGCGAUUUAGAGGAACACGUGCUGAAAACGGCCACUCUUUCAACGACCGUCGCUUGUCCACCGUUCGCGGAACUAACUUCGCUCGGCGUGCCUAUAAUGCGGGUGGCGCUCGAACCGAAACACUCGAACGAUUUGCAAGCGCUGAUAAACGGUUUGAAAUUGCUUAACCAGGCGGACGCUUGCGCGCUCGUUCACAUACAGGAAAGCGGAGAGAUCGUAUUGAGCACUGCCGGCGAGGUACACCUGGAGAGAUGCUUGGAGGACUUGAGAAGCAAGUACGCGAAAGUCGAGAUGAACGUAUCGGAGCCUAUCGUACAAUUCAGGGAAACUGUCGUGCCGCCUCCGAAACUGGACAUGGUGAACGAGGCGAUCGAGAAGAAGAUCGAAGAAUCCUGUUUCGCCGGCUGGACUGCCGAUCGACGUUGUUAUUUCGAGGUCGACGCGAGACCUUUGCCGGAGCGAGUGACCAAGAUCUUGGAGAAGCAGGCGGAUUUAAUAAAGGCGCUCUAUUACCGAUACGGUAAAUCGUUGUCGGAAAAGGCGAACGAAACGGAAAAAGAUAGGACCGACGAGUCGACGCGCUCGAUGUCCGAAAGGAAGCAAAGGGAAUUGGAGUCGUUCAAGAGCGAGUUAGCGGCUGCUUUUCGCGAAGCUGGAGAAAAAGAUACGUUGGAUCGGAUAUGGUCGUUCGGGCCAAGGAACUGCGGCUCUAACGUUCUGCUGAACGAAACCGACUAUAAGCAACGAAAGUUUUGGGAGGGACACCGAAAAUCGAGCGAUCCACGCGCUUCAUACGAAAGCGGAAUGGUGAAUGGUUUCCAGCUGGCGACGUUUGCCGGUCCUUUGUGCGAAGAACCUAUGACGGGUGUUUGUUUCGUCGUGAAGAAAUGGGAAAUUUAUCGAGACUCCGGCAGGAAAACUGUACGCAGCAUUCGGUAAGAGACACGGCCGUGUGAUCGCGGCAGAAAGCGCGCUCGGAUUCGGUGGACAGUUUCGCGUACUAGCUACGUUGCCUGUGCCAGAGAGCUUUCAGCUUGCCAGAGAACUGCGAACGCAAACGUCCGGGUUGGCCAGUCCCCAACUGGUUUUCAGUCAUUGGGAGGUGAUCGAACAGGAUCCUUACUGGACACCGUCCACGGACGAGGAAUACCUUCAUUUUGGCGACAAACCCGACAGCGAGAACAGA